rnacentral:rRNA from 1 species
UACAGAGGGGGCGAGCGUUGUUCGGAAUUACUGGGCGUAAAGGGUGCGUAGGUGGCGCGCUAAGUCAGGUGUGAAAUUUCGGAGCUUAACUCCGAAACUGCAUUUGAUACUGGCGUGCUUGAGGACUGGAGAGGAGACUGGAAUUCAUGGUGUAGCAGUGAAAUGCGUAGAUAUCUGCAGGAACACCCGUGGCGAAAGCGGCGCGCUGGACCACUACUGACGCUGAGGAACGAAAGCUAGGGGAGCAAACAGG